GAUGAACGCUGGCGGCGUGCCUAAUACAUGCAAGUCGAGCGAACGGACGAGAAGCUUGCUUCACUGAUGUUAGCGGCGGAAGGGAGAGUAACACGUGGAUCACCUACCUAUAAGACUGGGAUAACUUCGGGAAACCGGUGCUAAUACCGGCUAAUAUUUUGAUCCGCAUGGUUCAAAAGUGAAAGACGGCCUUGCUGUCACUUAUCGAUGGUUCCCCGCUGCAUUAGCUAGUUGGUAAGGUAACGGCUUACCAAGGCAGCGAUGCAUAGCCGACCUGAGCGGGUGACCGGCCAACCUGGAACUGAGACACGGUCCAGACUCCUACGGGAGGCAACAGUAGGGAAUCGUCCGCAAUGGGCGAAAGCCUGACGGAGCAACGCCGCGUGAGUGAUGAAGGUCUUCGGAUCGUAAAACUCUGUUAUUAGGGAAGAACAUAUGUGUAAGUAACUGUGCACAUCUUGACGGUACCUAAUCAGAAAGCCACGGCUAACUACGUG
rnacentral:rRNA from 1 species